GGGAUGUGUUUAUUAGAUAAAAAACCAAUGCCCUUCGGGGCUCUUUGGUGAUUCAUGAUAACUUUACGGAUCGCAUAGCCUUGCGCUGGCGACGGUUCAUUCAAAUUUCUGCCCUAUCAACUUUCGAUGGUAAGGUAUUGGCUUACCAUGGUUUCAACGGGUAACGGGGAAUUAGGGUUCGAUUCCGGAGAGGGAGCCUGAGAAACGGCUACCACAUCCAAGGAAGGCAGCAGGCGCGCAAAUUACCCAAUCCCGACACGGGGAGGUAGUGACAAUAAAUACUGAUACAGGGCUCUUUUGGGUCUUGUAAUUGGAAUGAGUACAAUUUAAACCUCUUAACGAGGAACAAUUGGAGGGCAAGUCUGGUGCCAGCAGCCGCGGUAAUUCCAGCUCCAAUAGCGUAUAUUAAAGUUGUUGCAGUUAAAAAGCUCGUAGUUGAAACUUGGGCCUGGCUGGCGGGUCCGCCUCACCGCGUGCACUCGUCCGGCCGGGCCUUCCUUCUGAAGAACCUCAUGCCCUUCACUGGGCGUGUUGGGGAAUCAGGACUUUUACUUUGAAAAAAUUAGAGUGUUCAAAGCAGGCCUUUGCUCGAAUACGUUAGCAUGGAAUAAUAAAAUAGGGCGUGCGUUUCUAUUUUGUUGGUUUCUAGAGACGCCGCAAUGAUUAACAGGAACAGUCGGGGGCAUCAGUAUUCAGUUGUCAGAGGUGAAAUUCUUGGAUUUACUGAAGACUAACUACUGCGAAAGCAUUUGCCAAGGAUGUUUUCAUUAAUCAGUGAACGAAAGUUAGGGGAUCGAAGACGAUCAGAUACCGUCGUAGUCUUAACCGUAAACUAUGCCGACUAGGGAUCGGGCGAUGUUCUUUUUCUGACUCGCUCGGCACCUUACGAGAAAUCAAAGUUU
rnacentral:rRNA from 1 species